CCAAUAGCGUAUAUUAAAGUUGUUGCAGUUAAAAAGCUCGUAGUUGAACCUUGGGCCUGGCUGGCCGGUCCGCCUCACCGCGUGCACUGGUUCGGCCGGGCCUUUCCCUCUGGGGAACCGCAUGCCCUUCACUGGGUGUGUCGGGGAACCAGGACUUUUACUGUGAAAAAAUUAGAGUGUUCAAAGCAGGCCUAUGCUCGAAUACAUUAGCAUGGAAUAAUAGAAUAGGACGUGUGGUUCUAUUUUGUUGGUUUCUAGGACCGCCGUAAUGAUUAAUAGGGACAGUCGGGGGCAUCAGUAUUCAAUUGUCAGAGGUGAAAUUCUUGGAUUUAUUGAAGACUAACUACUGCGAAAGCAUUUGCCAAGGAUGUUUUCAUUAAUCAGGAACGAAAGUUAGGGGAUCGAAGACGAUCAGAUACCGUCGUAGUCUUAACCAUAAACUAUGCCGACUAGGGAUCGGGCGAUGUUAUUAUUUGACUCGCUCGGCACCUUACG
rnacentral:misc_RNA from 1 species